GACGAACGCUGGCGGCGUGCUUAACACAUGCAAGUCGAACGGAAAGGCCCUGCUUUUGUGGGGUGCUCGAGUGGCGAACGGGUGAGUAACACGUGAGUAACCUGCCCUUGACUUUGGGAUAACUUCAGGAAACUGGGGCUAAUACCGGAUAUGAGCUCCUGCUGCAUGGGGGGGGGUGGAAAGUUUCGGCGGUUGGGGAUGGACUCGCGGCUUAUCAGCUUGUUGGUGGGGUAGUGGCUUACCAAGGCUUUGACGGGUAGCCGGCCUGAGAGGGUGACCGGCCACAUUGGGACUGAGAUACGGCCCAGACUCCUACGGGAGGCAGCAGUGGGGAAUAUUGCACAAUGGGCGGAAGCCUGAUGCAGCAACGCCGCGUGCGGGAUGACGGCCUUCGGGUUGUAAACCGCUUUCGCCUGUGACGAAGCGUGAGUGACGGUAAUGGGUAAAGAAGCACCGGCUAACUACGUG
rnacentral:rRNA from 1 species